rnacentral:rRNA from 1 species
GUUCCGACCUGCACGAAUGGCGUAACGACUUCCCCGCUGUCUCCAGCAGAGACUCAGUGAAAUUGAAUUCCCCGUGAAGAUGCGGGGUUCCUGCGGUCAGACGGAAAGACCCCGUGCACCUUUACUAUAGCUUUACACUGGCAUUCGUGUCGGCAUGUGUAGGAUAGGUGGUAGACUUUGAAGCAGGGGCGCCAGCCUUUGUGGAGUCACCCUUGAAAUACCACCCUUAUCUACAUGGAUGUCUAACCGCGGCCCGUUAUCCGGGUCCGGGACAGUGUAUGGUGGGUAGUUUGACUGGGGCGGUCGCCUCCUAAAGCGUAACGGAGGCGCGCGAAGGUUGGCUCAGAGCGGU